GAUGAUCUCGAUGAGAACUGAGAAUUCCUCUCUCAAAAUGACUGCAAAACGUUCAUUGAUGGCGUGCAAAUAAUUCCGCAGAAGAUAAGUAUUGCAGGUGGAAAUAAACUCGGCUCUGACAUAAAGUCUGGCGUGAAACUCUGAGUUCUGAUCUGAUAUGAUGAAGUCCUUGAAGAAACUGCAGCUUAUAUAUACACAUCUCAACUAUUCUAGAAACUUAUAAUAUUCACUUUAGAGAGAACAUUCUCCUUCUUUCUGGAGCAAUCACAUUCUGGAAGACUCUUGAAUGACCUCAGUGAAAUUAACAUGUCAACAACAUAGCUAAGCCUAUUGUUCUUUUCACUACUACUUGGAGCUCUAUUGUGUAGCAAUGUAUUGUUUAGCAGUCUGUAUUGUCUCUCUUGGGACAUUCCAGGAAUAACAAAGAUUUUUCAAAGAUUAGUGUCCAACAAAGCUGUACUAGAACAUUCUUGAUCAUUAUAUGCGAUAAAUAUCCUUAAAGAGGAAAUAACUAAAUAAAUGAAUAUAAUUGCUUUUACAAUUCGUCUUAUAUAUAGCAAAUCUUUUAAUGAAAACUUAAAACAUUGACUACGGUUUUCUUCCCCAAUAUAUUUCUUUUUUUAACCUUUUAUAUCCUUAAAAAACACAAUAACUAUAUGUAUAUACUAAAUAUGAAAGAUGGAAAAUUGAUACAAAUGGAUAUUCGUAAAAUUUCACCCCUCUGCUUUCUUCACUGAAACUGGCGGCUUCGAAGGCGGACAUCAAAAGCUGCUUGAAUAAAUUUGUUGCCUGUCAAAGAAUCUUCUUGGUUUAAGGGGGACAGGCCCGAAUGUUACAGGCCAGUGCGUUGGUGUGGCUAUCAUCACUGGGGAAUUAAUUCUUAAAAGGAAUAAUCCAGAAUAGAUUCCUAUAAUCGAUAGAUACGUGGAGAGGCCCCUAUAUUGUGGAGGAGCCGUGGCCGAGUGGUCUGUAAGCCGCUAGAUUGAAGGUGGUUGAUUGGAUAUCCGAAGAUCGGGGGUUCGAUUCCCGGCGCGCCAUGCCCUUGAGGAAGGCAGAUAUGCACAUAGACAACUAGCAGCCGUCUGUUUCCAGGAGUUUUUUUUAUUUUCUCCUCGUACACAGACGGCUCGCUAUCGUACAACCACCAUUAGGGGGUGAACAAUGCAAAAUCACCCAACGGGGCACUCGAUUUUGUCUUUAUUUCAUAAAAAUAUUGAAAAAGAAUUGAACCAAAGUAGAGAUUAUUAUUCCGUUUAGGCCUGGAAUGCACCAAAACGGGG